AUUGAACGCUGGCGGCAGGCCUAACACAUGCAAGUCGAGCGGAGCGGCGGACGGGUGAGUAAUACUUAGGAAUCUGCCUGGUAGUGGGGGAUAACGUCCGGAAACGGACGCUAAUACCGCAUACUAUCAGAUGAGCCUAGGUCGGAUUAGCUAGUUGGUGAGGUAAUGGCCUACCAAGGCUACGAUCCGUAACUGGUCUGAGAGGAUGAUCAGUCACACUGGAACUGAGACACGGUCCAGACUCCUCGGGGGGGCGGCGGUGGGGAUAAUUGGAAAAUGGGCGAAAGCCUGAUCCAGCAAUGCCGCGUGGGUGAAGAAGGUCUUCGGUUUGUAAGGCACUUUAAGGUGGGGGACGUUACCGGCAGAAUAAGCACCGGCUAACUCUGUGCCAGCAGCCGCGGUAAUAC
rnacentral:rRNA from 1 species